UACGUAGGCAGCGAGCGUUGUUCGGAAUUACUGGGCGUAAAGAGUGUGUAGGCGGUGUUCCCAGUCUGUUGUGAAAUCUCCCGGCUUAACUGGGAGGGUGCAGCGGAAACUAGAAUGCUAGAGGGUGGGAGAGGUAAGCGGAAUUCCGGGUGGAGUGGUGAAAUGCGUAGAUAUCCGGAGGAAUACCAAAGGCGAAGGCAGUGUCCUGGCUGGCAUCUGACGCUGAGGCGCGAAAGCUAGGGGAGCGAACAGG
rnacentral:rRNA from 1 species